CUCUAAGAGAGAAAGGACUUGUUGCACUUCUGCACAACAAUAGCUUCAAGUCUUAGAUAUAAAAUUUCUGGUAAUGUAUCAAAAAAUUUAUAGUUCUCCCUUAAAUUAAAUCAGCAUAUAUUAGUUAAAAUUUUAUAUUGUAAAGUAAAUGAAUGAUAAAAUAAAUCUGAUGCAUAAAUUAUAUGAAAUGAUCUUUUACACACAUUUAUCUCAAUUUCUGAGGAU
rnacentral:lncRNA from 1 species